UGGGGUGUAGCCAAGCGGCCUAAGGCAGCGGACUUUGACUCCGCCAUCGAUGGUUCGAGUCCAUCCACCCCAGCCA
rnacentral:tRNA from 3 species